GCCCCAGUAAACGGCGGCCGUAACUAUAACGGUCCUAAGGUAGCGAAAUUCCUUGUCGGGUAAGUUCCGACCCGCACGAAAGGCGUAAUGAUUUGGGCACUGUCUCAACGAGAGACUCGGUGAAAUUUUAGUACCUGUGAAGAUGCAGGUUACCCGCGACAGGACGGAAAGACCCCAUGGAGCUUUACUGCAGUUUGAUAUUGAGUAUCUGUACCACAUGUACAGGAUAGGUAGGAGCCAUUGACUUCGGGACGCCAGUUUCGAAUGAGGCGUUGUUGGGAUACUACCCUUGUGUUAUGGCUACUCUAACCCAGAUAGGUUAUCCCUAUCGGAGACAGUGUCUGACGGGCAGUUUGACUGGGGCGGUCGCCUCCUAAAGAGUAACGGAGGCGCCCAAAGGUUCCCUCAGAUUGGUUGGAAAUCAAUCGCAGAGUGUAAAGGUAUAAGGGAGCUUGACUGCGAGAGCUACAACUCGAGCAGGGACGAAAGUCGGGCUUAGUGAUCCGGUGGUACCGAAUGGAAGGGCCAUCGCUCAACGGAUAAAAGCUACCCUGGGGAUAACAGGCUUAUCUCCCCCAAGAGUUCACAUCGACGGGGAGGUUUGGCACCUCGAUGUCGGCUCGUCGCAUCCUGGGGCUGUAGU
rnacentral:rRNA from 1 species